rnacentral:lncRNA from 1 species
UGGAAACGAGGCGGGCUUCCCAUAUGUCACUUCUAAGUAGGAUAUUGGAGGAAUGAAGAGGUCUAAAUGACACGUUAAGGUCCAAGCUCACCCGUGAAUCAGAACUUACCGGAGGCCACGGAGGCUGUUACCGCGAGGAAACUCUAGUCCUGGCGGAAGACCAACUUCUAGCAGAUCCCCUUACCCUGGCUCUAGUCCACUAGCUCCUUCCUAGUC